CCCUAGCCCCGAUAGUAGUGGAAAUCCUUUUGUGCCGGGGUUCGGCACAAAAGAUUGAAACGGAUAGCGGGAUUAGCU
rnacentral:sRNA from 2 species